rnacentral:rRNA from 1 species
AGAGUUUGAUCCUGGCUCAGAAUCAACGCUGGCGGCGUGCCUCAGACAUGCAAGUCGAACGAUUAAACUUUCCUUCGGGAAAGAUAUAAAGUGGCGCACGGGUGAGUAACACGUAGGUAAUGUACCUUUGGGUGGGGAAUAACUUAGGGAAACUUAAGCUAAUACCGCAUAAUGCAGCGGCUCCUUCGGGAGACAGUUGUUAAAGAUUUAUCGCCUAAAGAGCAGCCUGCGGCAGAUUAGCUAGUUGGUAAGGUAACGGCUUACCAAGGCUACGAUCUGUAUCCGACCUGAGAGGGUGGUCGGACACACUGACACUGAAUAACGGGUCAGACUCCUACGGGAGGCAGCAGUCGGGAAUUUUGGGCAAUGGGCGAAAGCCUGACCCAGCAACGCCGCGUGAAGGAUGAAGUCUCUCGGGAUGUAAACUUCGUAAGAAUAGGAAGAAUAAAUGACGGUACUAUUUGUAAGGUCCGGCUAACUACGUGCCAGCAGCCGCGGUAAUACGUAGGGACCAAGCGUUGUUCGGAUUUACUGGGCGUAAAGGGCGCGUAGGCGGCAAUUCAAGUCAGUUGUGAAAUCUCCGAGCUUAACUCGGAACGGUCAACUGAUACUGCUUUGCUAGAGUACAGAAGGGGCAAUCGGAAUUCUUGGUGUAGCGGUGAAAUGCGUAGAUAUCAAGAGGAACACCUGAGGUGAAGACGGGUUGCUGGGCUGAUACUGACGCUGAGGCGCGAAAGCUAGGGUAGCAAACGGGAUUAGAUACCCCGGUAGUCCUAGCCCUAAACGAUGAAUACUUGGUGUCUGGAGUUUUAUUCUCCGGGUGCCGUCGCUAACGUUUUUAGUAUUCCGCCUGGGGAGUACGCACGCAAGUGUGAAACUCAAAGGAAUUGACGG